rnacentral:tRNA from 2 species
GGAGAAGUACCCAAGUGGCUAACGGGAGCAGACUGUAAAUCUGCUGGUUGAGAGACCUACGGGGGUUCGAAUCCCUCCUUCUCUA